rnacentral:rRNA from 1 species
UAUUUUAAAGAGAGUUUGAUCCUGGCUCAGGACGAACGCUGGCGGCGUGCCUAAUACAUGCAAGUCGAACGAACGGAGGAAGAGCUUGCUCUUCCAAAGUUAGUGGCGGACGGGUGAGUAACACGUGGGCAACCUUCCUGUAAGUUGGGGAUAACUCCGGGAAACCGGGGCUAAUACCGAAUGAUAGAAUGUGGCGCAUGCCACGCUUUUGAAAGAUGGUUUCGGCUAUCGCUUACAGAUGGGCCCGCGGUGCAUUAGCUAGUUGGUAGGGUAAUGGCCUACCAAGGCAACGAUGCAUAG